UUUACUACAAACUCACUGGUCUCUCACCCCGUUCCCCAUUUUCCACACACAAAAUUCAAUUCUGUUGAUUAUUUGAUUUCAAUUCUCAGGCGCAAAUUAACAAUGCCCCACGUCAUAGCUCUACUCAGUUGCAACAUGGUUAGUUUUGCGGCACAACGGCCGCAGCGUAGUAAAGCAAAGAAGAUGAAGCAGGUGAGGACAAAAGAAAAGCAGAGCAGCAGGAAUGCGGGGUUUGGCAUCGAGAAAAAGGAACCAUUGUGGCGAUGCGUCGAAGGUUGUGGUGCAUGCUGUAAGCUUGACAAGGGUCCUGCCUUCCCCACUCCGGAAGAAAUUUUCGAUAACCCAGAAGAUGUUAAGUUGUACAGAAGCUUGAUUGGUCCCGAUGGGUGGUGUAUAAAUUAUGAGAAAAACACACGCAAAUGCUCUGUUUAUCCUGAACGUCCAUAUUUUUGUCGCGUGGAGGCGGGCGUGUUCGAGUCAUUAUAUGGAAUUGGCAAGAAGAAGUUUAAUCAGGCGGCAUGCAGUUGCUGCAGGGACACCAUCAAGGAAGUUUAUGGUACCCAUUCCGAGGAAUUAGCUAACUUCAAUCGCUCAAUACGCAGCUGUGAUGCUUGAGUUAGUUUGAUUUGCUGUUCUUGAAGCUGGUACCUGCUUAAUUGUAAUUAAGAAUACGAGCUUAGUCAAAAAGGGGUUGAGUUGCCCCGAUACGGUUUUCCUCUUUUCUGGCGCCGUUGCUGCGUCAGGGCAUUU